UUCUCUCUGUCUCUCUCUCUCUGUCUCUCUCUCUCUCUGUCUCUCUCUUUAUUCUCUCUGUCUCUCUCUCUCUCUCUCUCUCUGUCUCUCUCUCUCUCUGUCUCUAUCUCUCUGUCUCUCUCUAUCUCUUUAUUUCUCUCUGUCUCUCUCUCUGUCUCUCUCUGUGUCUCUCUCUGUCUCUCUAUCUCUUUAUUUCUCUGUCUCUCUCUCUGUCUCUCUCUAUCUCUUUAUUUCUCUCUCUCUCUCUAUCUCUUUAUUUCUCUCUGUCUCUCUCUCUCUCUCUCUCUCUCUCUCUCUCUCUCUCUCUCUGUGUCUCUCUCUGUGUCUCUGUGUCUCUCUCUGUGUCUCUCUAUUUCUUUAUUUUCUCUCUGUCUCUCUCUAUCUCUCUCUCUCUCUCUCUCUCUGUGUCUCUCUCUAUGUCUCUCUCUGUGUCUCUCUAUUUCUUUAUUUCUCUCUGUCUCUCUCUCUGUCUCUCUCUAUUUCUUAUUUAUCUCUGUCUCUCUCUCUGUCACUCUAUCUCUUUAUUUCUCUGUCUCUGUCUCUCUGUCUCUAUCUUUCUUUCUCGCUGUCUCACUCUGUCUCUCUCUAUCUCUUUCUCUCUCUCUCUGUGUCUCUCUCUCUAUUUCUUUCUGUCUCUCUCUUUCUCUCCCCCCCCCUCUCUCUUUCUCACUCUCUUUCUCUUUCUCUCACUUUCUCGCUCUCUCUGUUUCUCUCUUUCUCGCUCUUUCUCUCUUAUCUCUCUCUCUCUCUUUCUCUCUCUCUCACUUAUCUCUUUCUCUCUCUCUCUCUCUCUCUCUCUCUCUCUCUCUCUCUCUCUCUCUCUCUCCCCCUCUCUGAAAAGCCGUAAAAACGCGUGGUGUGUUUGCGCUCCUGGCCCAGGAGGUCGUACGCUGAUAAAUCCAGUCCUGUUCCAGAGCAGUCCAGCUCGCCUUAUCAUCAGCAAACGUCCUGAACCGUUUCAAAGUUCAGGCACGGUGGCUGCUGUCACACAUCCCCAAUCUCGUUCCACACUCCUGCAGGAGGGUUAACAAGCUCUACUUCACACACGCUGCUGAAUCACGUUAACACCUCACACUUCGGAAGGUGGGGAGCAAAUUCUGGCGUUCAAAAGCGCAACCGUAAUGAAUUCUGCGAUGGAGUCUGGGUGUCUGGGUAGAAACUGAUCGGUUUGAUCGGUUUGUCCGCAUGUUCUUUGAAAUUCAAACAAUAAAAAAAUCACACGAAGCUGUUAAAUAUGUGCACAUAUGACCCCCCCCCCCCCUAAUAAAAAUAAAAAAAAAAACAGUCAGCCAGUUUGUCUUCUGAACCUGAACUUAAAUCAGAUAAUAUUAAAGCAAACAACAACAACAACAACAACAACAACAACAAAACCCAACCCCGUGCGGCUGCUAUGACAAAAAUAUCAUACCGUUGCCAUUUCUACAUGAUAUAUACGGUAGUCUUGCGAACAAACAGUACCGUUUUACUAAAAAAAAAAAUGUGGGUUUGAUGAUAAAUUUAUUUCAUAUUUCAUUUCAUCCCAUUGCUAUACAGAGGAAAGCGGGACUAGCGUAAGGCUGGGCGAUACGACCGUGUACACUCGAUAUUGUGAUCAACCGUGCCACGUUACCAUUUUACCGGUUUCAUUGUUAUUGGGCAUUUCUACUGAACGUCUCUGCGGAAACGUUACCGUUUUCUGAGAUUUUAUAACAGUUAUAAACUGACUGGAUCUAAAUUUCUAUUUCACCCUGAGAACGAGAGAGAAAAACAAAAAAAAAAAAACAUCUGCAAUUAAAUCGACACUUUAGAUUUAAUCGGUAUGACAUUUGAAAUCCGUUCUAUAAGAACGAUGCUUAAAUAUAUCACGAUACCCCCAAAGUGCAUUGCACCGUAACUGAUCACGAUAUCGUCAUCACGUCGUCAUAUUUCCCAGCCCUAACAUUACUGGCACUUUCCUCUUGUGUACACAGUGUAGAAGAAUCUAAAAACGUGUAUUUUUCUGGGUGUUUUGACACUCGGUACGUUUACAUGGACAACGAUAAUCCGAUUGAGACGAUACUCUGAUUAAGAAACUAGCAUGUAAACACAGAUUAUUGACGACCUUAAUCUGAUUAAAGUCACACUCGGAGUAAACACGGAUGGAAUUAAGACGUGCGGAGUAUUCCUGUUUUAGUCGCGUUAUGGACGUGCGUUACAGACGUGUACACACCUUAAUCACACUAUUAACGUCGUGUGGGAGUUUUCACCGCGUUGUGCGACAGGACGUGUACACACACG
ensembl:lncRNA